UACGUAGGUGGCAAGCGUUGUCCGGAUUACUGGGCGUAAAGGGCGCGUAGGCGGCCGCCUAAGUCAGACGUGAAAUCCCUCGGCUCAACCGGGGAACUGCGUCUGAUACUGGGUGGCUUGGAAUUCGGGAGAGGGAUGCGGGAAUUCCAGGUGUAGCGGUGAAAUGCGUAGAUAUCGAGAGGAACACCGUGCGGCGAAGGCGGGUUGCUGGGCGUGACACUGAUGCUGAUGCGCGAAAGCCAGGGGAGCGAACGGG
rnacentral:rRNA from 1 species